UUAACAGAUCGUCCUUCCAUGCUGCCAGUCCAGAAGCGUUCCUCCCAGGAGAAAGUAAUUUUCUGACGAGCUUUAGUGCUAUCAAAUAUAAAACGCUUCCCGAGUGCUGCUCUCAGCUUACAAUAAGCUUCCACUAUGUCAACCACAAGCUGAUGAGAGUGCUGGACAUGGUCCUUUACCGGAUUGCUGUUUUUGGUAGGACAGUCAACUAUAAAAUGUUGAAGAACUUAUUCAAGACACGGGAAUUCCAAAUCCCCAGAGACAGGAAAAGGGCAGUGUAUCCUGGAGAGACACUAGAAGAGUACUACAAGAAUGCCACAGAAUGGAGACUAAAGAACACAACGAUUUAUAUACGAAAUGAAACUAAACAUAACUAGAUGCAAUAAAUCGAGAUCCG